UAAGAUAAUUUAGUGUAUCAAAGAAAAAUAAAAAAUUAAGUGAUUGUUUUAUUAAUUUAACUACUUUUCAUGCAAUGAAUCAACAUCACAGCAUAUUUUCUUCUCCUUUUUAUUUGCAUACAUAAAAUUGCAUUGCAUUUCAUCGGAGACUUGGAAAAAAAUAAGAAAAAUUACAAAUAUGACGCGACUAAAACAAAUUCAGAAGAAGGCAGAUUCAAUGUUCUACAAAUGACACUUGAAAGAUUGGCCGUACAAUUAUGUAAAUUGCUUGUAUGAAACAUAAUAUGAUUGACAGAAUUAAAACAAGUAAUUUUCAUUUUCUUCACUUCGAAAAUUCUAGGAUAUAAAGGAUAUUUACAAUUAAUGUUUUUCAAUUUCGUUCAUGAAGGUUGAUAAAUUAUUCGAUGAUAGUAAAUACUGUGACAGAGACUGUCCGAUAUCCAAUUUCUGCACUGUUCACGCCUAGAUUUGUUACGAGUUAUUAUUCACACAGUAUAUAUCAUGUCGAUAACCAUUUCAAUUAGCCAAUGAAAGCAUUUUCGAGGCAAUCUCACAGCCAAGAUCUUGUUUCGCGAGACCACCUGGUAUGCAACAAGUCCGACAACUUGUAGACAGAGUCACGAGUGAAGAAUAUAUCGCCCCCUAUCUUAUUUGUAUACGAUCAUUAUGGAUUAUAUUGAUGUAUUCAGUACCUUUACGAAAGUCUUGCUCAGUGACAUUUGUUACAAAAGGCACACCCUCGAUUUUAAAUACUGUAUUAGGCAAUUUAUGGAGAAACACAAGGUAUCAAAUUUAUAAAAAUUUCUUUUUUAUAUCAUAAUCAUAAAAAAAAAGAAUUUAUU